UCCCUGUGCAGGAUCUCCUCUGAAGAACAUUUUUCAGCAAAAGGGGUUCAAUCCAUGGCCAAGACAAUUGGUGUUGUGUUUAAUGAGCAAAGGCAAGAACGCUCCUCCAUGGUUCAUCCGUGUUGACCCCUAUUGUUUACAGAUUCCUACAAUAGCCUCUGAAGAGUGAAGACAUGGCCCUUGGAAGGGGCUAUAAAAGAACCAAAAGAUUUGUAAAAUUCACGCAUCUUCCAUUGUGAAUAAAAGGAGUUCUUUCAAGAAUUAAACAUUUCUUCAGAUCACAAUUUCUCCCCAAAAGCACUUACAGUAGGAGAGCAGGAUGAUGCAUGGGGAGUGGGAAGAACUCAACACUUUAAUUUUUUGUUAACAUGGUGGAUUUAUUUGUGAAAGUUUGUGAAAGUAUGGCAAAAGAAGGCACACUCAUCACCAUUAAGAAAUCCUUCUAACCAACAAGCCUUCAUAAUCCUACCAUGCAUUAGAGUUAAAAAUACUCAACCAAUGUUCUGGGGUACACUGACUUCAGAUUUUCAGCAAGUCAAAUGGACUGUUUCCUCCCCAAAAACUUAAGAAAUUGGGCUUGUGGCCUUUACAACACUAAUGGAUGCAGAUGAAAAUUUACUAAAGGAGGUGAAGAAAUGACCUGAGUGGUCGAAGUGAUCU
rnacentral:lncRNA from 1 species